GAUGAAGAACGUAGCGAAAUGCGAUAAGUAAUGUGAAUUGCAGAAUUCAGUGAAUCAUCGAAUCUUUGAACGCACAUUGCGCCCCUUGGUAUUCCGAGGGGCAUGCCUGUUCGAGCGUCAUUAUAACCCCUCAAGCUCAGCUUGGUGUUGGGGCCUGCUGCACUGGCAGCCCUUAAAAUCAGUGGCGGCGCCAUCUGGCUCUAAGCGUAGUAAUUCUUCUCGCUAUGGAGUUCUGGUGGAUGCUUGCCAUCAACCCCCAAUUUUUCUAUGGUUGACCUCGGAUCAGGUAGGGAUACCCGCUGAACUUAAGCAUAUCAAUAAGCGGAGGA
rnacentral:misc_RNA from 1 species